rnacentral:miRNA from 1 species
GCUAAAUUGUGACAUCACAGUGCUCCAAUGUGACAUCACAGUGUUCCAUUGUGCCAUCACAGUGCUACAUUGUGUCAUCAGAGUGAUCCAUUUUGAUAUCAAAGU